UGAGAUUUAAGAUUUACCAUCUUGUGCACUGAUAGAAUAAUGUAUCUGUAUGUUGGAUGUCUGUUAGUGGAGUAGAUGCUUUCCCCCAACUGUUCCCACUUCAUAUAACCUCCGAUCCAGUACCAACACUUUAUUUAAUCUACCUCAAUACAAAAAGAAAGCAGCCCGAUCCUCCUUUUCCUACAGAGCACCCCAAUUGUGGAAUGAC